GCACCCUCCGUUCGGUACCUGUUGCCGCCACACAUGCGGGCACGUGCGCGCGCACACGCACACACACUGUGUACCUUCUGCCGACACACACACACACACACACACUCUGGUCAGGUUCUCCAGUUCAGCCUGAGACCUACCCCUGACAAGAUUCUCGAGUGUCUUACAGCAGACCUGUCAUGUUUGCGGAGGGCUCUCCACCCUUGGGGGGCUCCCAGGUCCCUGGGGAGGCGGCGGGCCCCUCCUCUCGGCCCUUCCAGACCCCCAUCCAGCAGCGCUUGUACCCCGAGAUGGUGAGAGCCCUGUGUCUGUCUCCCUUCAGGACAGUGAGCUGAUCAAGGGGAGCCCUGUGUCCUCACCCUAGUGCUCCCGGCACUGCACUGACAAGCUGUACCUGCUAGAUUGAAACUGGGCUUCAACUACCUCCAUUUUGACCUCAAACUCGCUAAUUGAGUAAAUUCUUCCUUCUAGUUUCCCUGUUAACUCAGGCAGAAAACGCUGCAGGCCAGCAUCCCGUGAUGGAAACAAAUCACCCCCUCAAGCAACAAGAACUGCCCUGAGCCAGCAAGACCAGGGUGACUGACUGCAAGGCAGUGAGCGAUUUGACCUUCGCUGCUCACUUGUGGCCCAAGUCGUGAUCUCCUGUUCAUCAGAUCGAGCCCCACUGCCAGCUCUGUGCUAACAGCGUGGAGGCCGCUUGGGAUUCUCUCUCUGCCCCUCCCGCACUCCCUCUCUCUCAAAACAAAUAAACUUUUAAAAAAUGUUUAAAAGAACAAAACAAACAAAAAGCAAAACAACAAAAGACCUGGAAGGUAUUUUCAGCCCUUUGGAGACAGUCUUUGAGAGGGUCCACUGUCUUCCGGGGGGUGGCCUCCCUGGAAUAAAUCCCAUUCUUGUUUCA